AGUGAACGCUGGCGGUAGGCCUAACACAUGCAAGUCGAACGGCAGCACAGUAAGAGCUUGCUCUUACGGGUGGCGAGUGGCGGACGGGUGAGGAAUACAUCGGAAUCUACUUUUUCGUGGGGGAUAACGUAGGGAAACUUACGCUAAUACCGCAUACGACCUACGAGUGAAAGCAGGGGAUCUUCGGACCUUGCGCGAUUGAAUGAGCCGAUGUCGGAUUAGCUAGUUGGCGGGGUAAAGGCCCACCAAGGCGACGAUCCGUAGCUGGUCUGAGAGGAUGAUCAGCCACACUGGAACUGAGACACGGUCCAGACUCCUACGGGAGGCAGCAGUGGGGAAUAUUGGACAAUGGGCGCAAGCCUGAUCCAGCCAUACCGCGUGGGUGAAGAAGGCCUUCGGGUUGUAAAGCCCUUUUGUUGGGAAAGAAAAGCAGCAGGUUAAUACCCCGCUGUUCUGACGGUACCCAAAGAAUAAGCACCGGCUAGCUUCGUG
rnacentral:rRNA from 1 species